GCAGCAGCCGCGGUAAUACGUAGGUGGCAAGCGUUGUCCGGAAUUAUUGGGCGUAAAGGGCUCGCAGGCGGUUUCUUAAGUCUGAUGUGAAAGCCCCCGGCUCAACCGGGGAGGGUCAUUGGAAACUGGGAAACUUGAGUGCAGAAGAGGAGAGUGGAAUUCCACGUGUAGCGGUGAAAUGCGUAGAGAUGUGGAGGAACACCAGUGGCGAAGGCGACUCUCUGGUCUGUAACUGACGCUGAGGAGCGAAAGCGUGGGGAGCGAACAGGAUUAGAUACCCCCGUAGUCCCUGUCUCUUAUAC
rnacentral:rRNA from 1 species